GUUGAGGUUGAAGGUUCUCAAGGCGAAUAUGGGUCAAGGCUGUCAUCACAUCCCGCUGCCCUUUGGCACCACGACGCUCCUGAAGAAGAAGGUUAAGGACAUUGUGUAGUGAAGAGUCUGCCUUGCUGCGACUUGAAGGCCACUGUCACCCUUGAGGCGAGGCCGCAGAGGGGCGAGGGUGUAUGUCGACAGCUGGCGCCAGUUGUAGGAGGGGGCGAGGGGCAACAACCCGGCCUGUUUUAUGAUGGAUGUUCUCCAGCCUCCACAAGUAACGCUAUCACCUCCCUCGGGGCUGCAUCUCACCCAUCCGCUCCAAGAUCCUCGCUUCCCCCUCUCUCAACACCCAGCCACAGCCACACUCCAAUCUCCACUGUCACGGCAGAGUGGCGCCACGGAGCAGCCAGCAGACCCGCCUCCACCUCUCCUCGCCGCCAUGUUGGAAUCCCACCGGGCGACGGGCGGGCCUCACACCGCGCGCCCCGCCACCUCUCCUUCCUGCUGGCGACCCUCGAAAAAUGUUCUCAAGAAAGAGGGAAGGAGAAAGAGGACUGUUCCAAGCAAUUAAUGGAUAACAACGCUGCCCAGAACACAGGAAGCAGAUCCAGGUCAGACUAAACUGUAUUUCUUCCUGGUAACAAUAACAGUGAAGAGAAAGAAUAGAAAAAGAAAAGAAAACACUAAUUCAUCUGUCUCUCUCUCUUUCUCCUUCUCCACCUCAAAAUUUGCUCCUGUUUCUGUCUGUCUUUCUCUUAUUCAGGUUGUCUCUGUCCAUUUGUCUGUCUGUCUGUUUGUCUGUUUGUCUACUUGUCUAGCUCUGUCCGUUUGUCUAUCUGUCAGUAUGUCUGUUUUGAAUUUGUUAUUCUGUCUGUAUGUCUAUCUAUCUUUCUGUCUGUCUUUCUGUCUGUCUGUCUGUCUAUCUGUCAGUCUUUAUAUAUGUUAUUCUCUCUCUCUCUCUCUCUCUCUCUCUCUCUCUCGAUUCCCUUCUCGUGUUCACUCUAAUUUUCUCUCCAUCUCAUUUCCCUUGUACUCCAUUUUGUGUCGGCUCCCACUCACCCCUGCGGCCUAUCGCCCCUCUGAUCAGAAUCUUUUUCUUUCGCACCAGAUCCCCUCUUUCACCCUCCUCCUCCUCCGCUGCCCCCUCUCGCCUCCCUCCCUCCUUCCCUCCCUCGCCGCCCGACCCCAUCAUUUGCACUCUUCGAUCCGCCUCCAGCGUUGCCCCUCGUCUUCUGGCUCCCCUCAGCUCCUCUGCGGUCCUUCUCUUUUUCCUGCGCCGUCGUUUACCAGCAGUGAAUUUUCCUCCUCUCCUUUUCUUCAGAUGUCAAACUCAGCUGGCUCGUGUUCGGCGGCCGGAGCCUUGCUGGAAUAUAUUUGUGUAGUAUUUAUUUAUGUAGUAGUAUUUCUUCUUAUGGCGAUGUUGAUCUAAUUAUUCCUCCUGUCGAUUAAGUUCCUUGGGGCUCAUUUCCUUCGUUUUCGUGGCCUGAUUUUGUGUUUUCUUACUCCUAUUUGCACUGAAACCUGUUAUCCUUUUAUGAUCUGUCUUUCCAAUUGCGGUUUGAUCAUGAAAGUGCUUGUAAUUUUCUCCCCCCCUUAAGUGCAUGUUCAGUAACUACGUAAUCAUGCAUCCCUCUUGAUUAAGGUGAGAGAAACAUAUACUAUUUAUAGGGAAAAAAAUACCUAUAUCAAGUUAUGAGGUGAGGGAAGUGGCCGUGUGGUGAGCGUUAAGUGAGGUGAGUGUUGACAGGGGUGAGGAAAGCCACAGAAUGUAUGGAGCGAGGCGAGGAAGAGCAGGACGGGAGGUGGAGAGGCUGAGGCUAAGGAAGUUAGGGUGUGUCAAGGGUAAAGCUGGAGGGUGAGAAGAGAGGGAAGGAGGCGGAAAGGGAAAGGGAGGACAGAAGGUACAGGGAGGGAAGGGAGGAGGUGGUGGUGGAGUGGGUGGGCGCUGUGUGCUGAUAUGAAGCAAACUUGAGCAAAUAUGUCAUGUCAAAUCACCAUGUCAUUUGAGAAUAGUUUACAUUAGUGUAUAUUAAAAAGAGUGACAGUUUUAAAGCGACGAGUAUCAUUUAUAUUAUAAGUAUUUUUUCUACAUUUGAUGUUGAUUUUUCCCUUUUUCCCAUAUGAAUAGCUUCAUAUUUUCUUUUUUUCUUAUCUUUCUCUAAAUCAUUAUUAUUUUGUUUCUUUUUCCAACCACAUUAAUGUUUCCCUGUAAUUAUCAGUCGUAUUUACUUCUGCUUUUUUCUUGUUUCGCUUGAUUACCAAAUGCGUAUUUCACACCUUUUUACUUUUUAUUAAUGUUAUCUUUUUUCUCUCAUUUUAUUCUUUUCUCUUUUACCGCAUAGUUCGUCCUAUUUCCCCUUUGUAAUAUUACUUUUAUUGUCUUUCUUCUUCUCACAUCCAAUGCUGCUAGUCCCCUUCCUGCACUUGUUGCCCUCUUCUCUAUUUUUCUUCCUAUGGUAUAUUUUUUUCCCCUUCACUCUUCCCUCUUCUCCGUGCUUAACUCUUACUCUCCACUCUUGUUGUUGUUGUUGUUGUUGUUAUUGUUGUUAAAGAAGUCACAUAUAUGUAUCUGUUUUUCUUAUCCUUCCCAUCUUCUUAGAUCUUUACCAUGUCAGUGUCAUUUUCCUCUCAUUGUUCCUCUUCCUCCCUCACCUCCUCGUCCUUUUCCCCCCUUCCCCUCCCAGUCAUUGUCGUCGUCCGCUUGUUCUUUCUCCUCCUUUCCCUCCUCCUCGUCCUCCUCCUCCUUCACCUACUCCUCCUCCUCCUCCUCCUCCUCCUUCUCCUCCUCCUCCUCUUUCUCCUCAGGUCCAGGGGGUCGAUAGUGGAGAGGACUGAAGGACCCAGCCAUCGGACCUCCGUAAUUGCGUUUCCGCCCUGAGAUGGCCGCCUCCCAGUCUUUCUUCUGUGACAGACAACUGAAUCUUUCCCCUGUUUCUCUCUCUCUCUCUCUCUCUCUCUCUCUCUCUCUCUCUCUCUCUCUCUCUCUCUCUGGCCUUCAAAUUCUUUCCAUCUUUGCUGUUCUCCACGUCUCUGGUUUUCCGUGGAGUGGACGAAACUUGUCACGAUUGGUUCUAAUUGGCGGACAAGGCUGGCGAGAAACUUGUGUGUUUUGGCCCUGUGAGCGUGUUAUCUUUAAUUUCGUUCGGUCGUUCAGAGAGAGAGAGAGAGAGAGAGAGAGAGAGAGAGAGAGAGAGAGAGAGAGAGAGAGAGAGGAGACGUGAUAAGUGUGUGUGUGUGUGUGUGUGUGUGUGUUGCAAUACAAAUCAGUCAUGCUCUUAUAACUCAUGAGAAGAUAGGUGAAUAACACUUACCAUUUUACACCUCAAGGAGUAAGUAAUAAGUGUACGAUAUUCUGCAUACGAUACCUAGCUAGUUUGAGCGGCAAUGCCAGACGUAAGACAAAAGACACUGGCUGUAAAUAUAAAGAAAUAAAAUAAUAUAUUCCAC